AUAGCUCAGCGGUAGAGCGGUCGGCUGUUAACCGAUAGGUCGUUGGUUCGAAUCCUACU
rnacentral:tRNA from 1 species